rnacentral:rRNA from 1 species
GUAGGUGGCAAGCGUUGUCCGGAAUUAUUGGGCGUAAAGCGCGCGCAGGCGGUUCUUUAAGUCUGAUGUGAAAGCCCACGGCUCAACCGUGGAGGGUCAUUGGAAACUGGAGAACUUGAGUACAGAAGAGGAAAGCGGAAUUCCACGUGUAGCGGUGAAAUGCGUAGAGAUGUGGAGGAACACCAGUGCGAAGGCGGCUUUCUGGUCUGUAACUGACGCUGAGGCGCGAAAGCGUGGGGAGCAAACAGGGAUUAGAUACCCUGGUAGUCCACGCCGUAAACGAUGAGUGCUAAGUGUUAGGGGGUUUCCGCCCCCUUAGUGCUGCAGCUAACGCAUUAAGCACUCCGCCUGGGGAGUACGGCCGCAAGGCUG